rnacentral:siRNA from 1 species
UUUUUGCCACCUCCGCUUGUUCAAC